rnacentral:lncRNA from 1 species
CGACAGUGAGCGAGCAAAUCAACCCCAGGCCGCAAAAAUUUAUGGCUGUUUUCUCCAACAACCCCAGGACCUUCAGAGUUCUAUAAAAGCCAGCUUCACCCCCACAUUCUCGACCUCAUUCUUCUUCUCUCCCUCCUUUGAAUCCAGAUCCUUGCUGAGUUCGCCAUGGAGUUCAAGCUGACAAGCACCGCCACCGAGGUGCUUGACAAGGCUGCCGCUCUCGCGGCCGCCGGCCUAGGCUUGGAAGGAGAAGNNN